UGGUAGAAGGUGCGGGGUGGGUGAGAACCCGCGAUUGUGGUUCGACAAAUCGGCAUGCUGAUUUGAACGCCACUUGUGGCGGCCCGCAGGGCGAGGGCAAAGCCCGAGUAAUCCCACCCCUUCCGCCA
rnacentral:sRNA from 6 species